UACCCAUCUUUUUGGCCUCUAGAGAACAAUGCCUCAUGAUUAUACAAUGUUGGCACCAUUUCUCUUAGUUAAGUUCUUUCCCACCAUGCUGGUUUAGAUAGGGGUUCAAGCAUGACCUCACGAUUAUACGAUGUUGGCCACACUCGUUGCCUACCUUAACCUCAUCAAAUGUUUUAAAUAAACUCCUCCUGAAUAUAAGCAUGCACUUUGUCACUUCCCCAUUAUAGGGUGAAGGCGGUGUACAAGUCAUAAACGCUUGGAGCCUACCACGGUGGAAGGCCACGAAAAAAGUGUUUCAAAGCACUCUUACGCUUUCAACUUAAUAUUGUUUGGUUGAGGGAUUUUAAGGUCUCAUCAAUUUUAUUUAUUUAAUCACAAUC
rnacentral:lncRNA from 1 species